CUCUAGCUAGUCUAGUGACUAGGAUCCCUGGUUUUCAUCCAGGCUUCCCAGGUUCAAUUCCUGAGCAGAGA
rnacentral:tRNA from 1 species